rnacentral:rRNA from 1 species
UGAUUCUGCCUGACGUAGACGCUAUACUCUAAGAUUAACCCAUGCAUGUUUAUUGAAUAUAAAGAAAAGACGAACAGCUCAGUAACUCUUAUUUUAUUUGAUGUAUUAGGAACAUAACUAUGUUAAAUUAUAGAUAAUAAUAAUACAAUAAGAAUAAGAUCUAUCAGUUAGUUGUUAAGGUAAUGGCUUAACAAGACUAUGACGGAUAACGGUAUUACUUUGUAAUAUUCCGGAGAAGGAGCCUGAGAGAUUGCUACUAAGUCUAAGGAUUGCAGCAGGGGCGAAACUUGACCUAUGAUAUGAUAUUGAGGCAGUUAUGAGUAGUAUUUUUAAUUAUUGUAGUAUUGUAAGUAUAUACUACAAGAUAAAUCGGAGGGCAAAUCGAGUGCCAGCAGCCGCGGUAAUACUUGUUCCGAUAGUGUGUAUGAUGAUUGAUGCAGUUAAAAAGUCUGUAGUUUAUUAUUAAUAAGCAUUGUGAGGUAUAUUGUAUGGUUAGGAGAGAGAUGAAAUGUGAUAACCCUAACUGGAUGAACAGAAGCGAAAGCUAUAUACUUAAAUGUAUUAUUAGAACAAGGACGUAAGCUAGAGGAUCGAAGAUGAUUAGAUACCAUUGUAGUUCUAGCAGUAAACUAUGUUAAAAUCAUAGAUACAUUAUAUAAAUGUAUUUAUGUAAAGAAAUUAAGGAUUAUAUUGACUCUG